rnacentral:rRNA from 2 species
GUGUUGAUGGCCUAGAGGAACCACCUGUAUCCAUCUCGAACACAGAAGUUAAGCUCUAGAGCGCCGAAAGUAGUGG